rnacentral:lncRNA from 1 species
GAGAGAGUAGUUGCAAAGUGUUCCGAUGAAGGCGGUGGAGAUGAUGGAGAUUAAUUGCAUCUUAGGGAGGGUAAAGCACUCAUCAUCGGUUCUCACCAUAUGAGGAUAUAACAGUCUUUAUUACCCCACACUCUAUAGCGUAUAUGAGGUAGAGCUGGACGGGCUAGAGAUCACGGUGUCAAGUCAAAUGUUGUCAUUGUUGAUGAUGUUGAGUCAACAACUCAUGAUGAUAUGAAGA